UUGAAUUUUAAUGAAGAGUUUGGUUGUAGCUGGCCCAUUCAGUUUGGGCAUGUGCACACCUUCCUCUUUCAUCCCACACACACCUGUGAACCUGUGAGACAGAGAUGGGGAAUUUACUUGCUGCUUUUUGGAAUACAAAGGCAAUAGGUUAUUGGACCCCCCCUCUGUCUACUCAAUUAAUAUAAACUCAAUUUAUUUUAAAACGAAUGUAAUGGAUGUAACACAUCUCAUAC
rnacentral:misc_RNA from 1 species